rnacentral:rRNA from 1 species
AGUGAACGCUGGCGGUAUGCCUAACACAUGCAAGUCGAACGGCAGCACAGUAAGAGCUUGCUCUUACGGGUGGCGAGUGGCGGACGGGUGAGGAAUACAUCGGAAUCUACUUUUUCGUGGGGGAUAACGUAGGGAAACUUACGCUAAUACCGCAUACGACCUACGGGUGAAAGCAGUGGAUCUUCGGACCUUGCGCGAUUGAAUUAGCCGAUGUCGGAUUAGCUAGUUGGCGGGGUAAAGGCCCACCAAGGCGACGAUCCGUAGCUGGUCUGAGAGGAUGAUCAGCCACACUGGAACUGAGACACGGUCCAGACUCCUACGGGAGGCAGCAGUGGGGAAUAUUGGACAAUGGGCGCAAGCCUGAUCCAGCCAUACCGCGUGGGUGAAGAAGGCCUUCGGGUUGUAAAGCCCUUUUGUUGGGAAAGAAAAGCAGCAGGUUAAUACCCCGCUGUUCUGACGGUACCCAAAGAAUAAGCACCGGCUAACUUCGUG